rnacentral:rRNA from 1 species
AUUGAACGCUGGCGGCAUGCCUUACACAUGCAAGUCGAACGGUAACAGGUCUUCGGACGCUGACGAGUGGCGAACGGGUGAGUAAUACAUCGGAACGUGCCCAGUCGUGGGGGAUAACUACUCGAAAGAGUAGCUAAUACCGCAUACGAUCUGAGGAUGAAAGCGGGGGACCUUCGGGCCUCGCGCGAUUGGAGCGGCCGAUGGCAGAUUAGGUAGUUGGUGGGAUAAAAGCUUACCAAGCCGACGAUCUGUAGCUGGUCUGAGAGGACGACCAGCCACACUGGGACUGAGACACGGCCCAGACUCCUACGGGAGGCAGCAGUGGGGAAUUUUGGACAAUGGGCGAAAGCCUGAUCCAGCAAUGCCGCGUGCAGGAUGAAGGCCUUCGGGUUGUAAACUGCUUUUGUACGGAACGAAAAAGCUUCUCCUAAUACGAGAGGCCCAUGACG